CCUCCUUUAAAGAAAUCGGAAUAAGGCGUGAAAGCGCCCGCACAAUCUGCCUCAUCAUCGUAAAGAUAGACCGCGGGUCUGUAGCUCAGUCGGUUAGAGCGCACCCCUGAUAAGGGUGAGGUCGGAAGUUCAACUCUUCCCAGACCCACCACCUUAGAGCCUGUAGGAGCAACAAGGGAGUAGGGGGCCAUAGCUCAGAUGGGAGAGCACCUGCUUUGCAAGCAGGGGGUCGGCGGUUCGAUCCCGCCUGGCUCCACCAGGCGCUAAACGGCGGCGGCAAAUUACCGCCGCCGUUUAUCUCCUGGCCGGAGUGCCACGGGACGUUCUUUUACAAUUUAGGUAGUGAUGUACGACGGUGAAGUCGGGACAUCGUUUGACGUCCGGACUUUACUGGGUAUGCCAGCAUUUAUUAUGGUAGUAGUUGUGAUCCCAUUAAGAGCAGUCUUUUUGGGGUUUAUAUGAUCAAGCGACUAACCGCCCAUGGUGGAUGCCCUUGGCGGCAAGAGGCCAAUGAAGGACGUGGUACCUGCGAUAAACCUUCCGA
rnacentral:tRNA from 1 species